rnacentral:misc_RNA from 1 species
AUGACAUUCGCAUUAUGGGUUGGUCUCCUAUUCCAGUUGGUUUCAGUGCAAGGUUCAGUUGUUUGAGCAGGGUGUACAAGUACUUCUUUUGGCAGGGAAACUUGAAUUUAACAGCCAUGCAAACUGCUGCGAAGAAAUUCUUAGGGGAACAUGAUUUCAGAAAUUUUUGCAAAAUGGAUGCAGACAAUGUGCACAACUACCGGCGGCACAUAAUAUCGUUUGAAAUUGUCCCCUUCAAUGAAAGGUAAUUGAUUUGCUACUGGAUAUAGAAAGAACACCACGGAAACCUCAGUUCCCAAUGGCUCCAGAAAUACCUCUAGUUCUUCAAUCCUGUGAAUU